rnacentral:tRNA from 1 species
AGGGGUACAGCUCAGUGGUAGAGCGUGUGCUUAUGAGUAUGUGCGAGGUCCUGGGUUCAAUCUCCAGUACCUCCA